AGAGUUUGAUCCUGGCUCAGGACGAACGCUGGCGGCGUGCCUAAUACAUGCAAGUCGAACGCUUCUUUUUCCACCGGAGCUUGCUCCACCGGAAAAAGAGGAGUGGCGAACGGGUGAGUAACACGUGGGUAACCUGCCCAUCAGAAGGGGAUAACACUUGGAAACAGGUGCUAAUACCGUAUAACAAUCGAAACCGCAUGGUUUUGAUUUGAAAGGCGCUUUCGGGUGUCGCUGAUGGAUGGACCCGCGGUGCAUUAGCUAGUUGGUGAGGUAACGGCUCACCAAGGCCACGAUGCAUAGCCGACCUGAGAGGGUGAUCGGCCACAUUGGGACUGAGACACGGCCCAAACUCCUACGGGAGGCAGCAGUAGGGAAUCUUCGGCAAUGGACGAAAGUCUGACCGAGCAACGCCGCGUGAGUGAAGAAGGUUUUCGGAUCGUAAAACUCUGUUGUUAGAGAAGAACAAGGAUGAGAGUAACUGUUCAUCCCUUGACGGUAUCUAACCAGAAAGCCACGGCUAACUACGUGCCAGCAGCCGCGGUAAUACGUAGGUGGCAAGCGUUGUCCGGAUUUAUUGGGCGUAAAGCGAGCGCAGGCGGUUUCUUAAGUCUGAUGUGAAAGCCCCCGGCUCAACCGGGGAGGGUCAUUGGAAACUGGGAGACUUGAGUGCAGAAGAGGAGAGUGGAAUUCCAUGUGUAGCGGUGAAAUGCGUAGAUAUAUGGAGGAACACCAGUGGCGAAGGCGGCUCUCUGGUCUGUAACUGACGCUGAGGCUCGAAAGCGUGGGGAGCAAACAGGAUUAGAUACCCUGGUAGUCC
rnacentral:rRNA from 1 species